CCUACGGGGGGCAGCAGUGGGGAAUAUUGGUCAAUGGACGAGAGUCUGAACCAGCCAAGUAGCGUGAAGGCUGACUGCCCUAUGGGUUUUAAACUUCUUUUAUAAGGGAAUAAAACGAGGCACGUGUGCCUUUUUGCAUGUACUUUAUGAAUAAGGAUCGGCUAACUCCGUGCCAGCAGCCGCGGUAAUACGGAGGAGCCGAGCGUUAUCCGGAUUUGUUGGGUUUAAAGGGAGCGUAGAUGGGUUGUUAAGUCAGUUGUGAAAGUUUGCGGCUCAACCGUAAAAUUGCAAUUGAUACUGGCAGUCUUGAGUACAGUUGAGGUAGGCGGAAUUCGUGGUGUAGCGGUGAAAUGCUUAGAUAUCACGAAGAACCCCGAUUGCGAAGGCAGCUUACUAAACUGUGACUGACAUUGAUGCUCGAAAGUGUGGGUAUCAAACAGGAUUAGAUACCCUGGUAGUC
rnacentral:rRNA from 1 species